CCGCUUCGGUCGCUCCUCAAAUAUACGUCUGUCACAGUUAACGGCAAAGCCUAGGGCAAGAGUUCUACGCCCAAGAUGGCCAGCCGGAAGCGGACUUCUCGCGACCAUGUGGCGAAGCCCCAUUCGUCAGCUGGCCGCCCGCGGCCCUGGUACCCGGUCACCUCUCUGAUCUGCGCAUGUGCUGGGCUACGCCCGGGCGCAAGCGCCAAGAGCGGCUGCGUCUAUGGUCAUGACGUCUGACAGAGCGUCCACCCGUCUUCGCCAGGACUCUAUGGUUCUUACGCGCGCAGACAGACCGCCUAUAUAAGCCAUGCGCAGGCGGAGGAGCGCCUCUUUCCCUUCGGUGUGCCACUGAAGAUCCUGGUGUCGCCAUGGGCCGCCGCCCCGCCCGUUGUUACCGAUAUUGUAAGAACAAGCCGUACCCAAAGUCUCGCUUCUGCCGAGGUGUCCCUGAUGCCAAGAUUCGCAUUUUUGACCUGGGGCGGAAGAAGGCAAAAGUGGAUGAGUUUCCGCUCUGUGGCCACAUGGUAUCAGAUGAAUAUGAGCAGCUGUCCUCUGAAGCCCUGGAGGCUGCCCGAAUUUGUGCCAAUAAGUACAUGGUAAAAAGUUGUGGCAAAGAUGGCUUCCAUAUCCGGGUGAGGCUCCACCCCUUCCACGUCAUCCGCAUCAACAAGAUGUUGUCCUGUGCUGGGGCUGACAGGUGAGCUUGGUCUGGGCUUUUUAAGGCAGUUGGAGUCUCUACAUUAUUAGGCUUGCAUUAUUGCAUCAGAGCAUAGAGGUGGCCCCAGUGACUCAGCCACUAUGGCUACUAGAAAAGCCAGGCUGGCAAGUGACUUUCAGUGGUCACUCAGGACCCUUUCCUGUGGACUGUUGCGGAUACAAAGCAAGCAUGAGUAAGUCUUAGCAAGCUCUUCCCCACAGGUUAGGGCAAACACUUGUGAUUGGAGUAGCUCUUCUUGCUUUUAGCUUGAUGACAACCAUCUUGCCAGCAAGCAGGUAGUUGAAGCUGGCAGAGGAGCUCAGUGUCGCCUUUUCAAUGGUUCUUGGGAUGCUCUGCAGCCAAUUAAGCCGACUGAGUUCCUUUCCUCAUGGGGGCCCAGUGUGCAAUGGCUGCACACAGCAGCUUCCUUGGUAGUGUACGCAGCCUGUUGGUUGUAUGGGUUGCUCUAAGGGACCUUGGAGACAGGCCUUUCCGAUGGAUGUUCAUGUUUCUGACCUUGCACUACCCCAAUGUAGGCUCCAAACAGGCAUGCGAGGUGCCUUUGGAAAGCCCCAGGGCACUGUGGCCAGGGUUCACAUUGGCCAAGUUAUCAUGUCCAUCCGCACCAAGCUGCAGAACAAGGAGCAUGUGAUUGAGGCUCUGCGCAGGGCCAAGUUCAAGUUUCCUGGCCGCCAGAAGGUACGUAGUGCUGCAGCCCCCUUCUCCCACCUUUUUUGCCUCAGGCCUCCUGACUCAAUUCUUUCCAUUGCUCCCUAGAUCCACAUCUCAAAGAAGUGGGGCUUCACCAAGUUCAAUGCUGAUGAAUUUGAAGACAUGGUGGCUGAGAAGCGGCUCAUCCCAGAUGGCUGUGGGGUCAAGUACAUCCCCAAUCGUGGCCCUCUGGACAAGUGGCGGGCCCUGCACUCAUGAGGGCUUCCAAUGUGCUGCCCCCCUCUUAAUACUCACCAAUAAA
rnacentral:sRNA from 1 species